GCAGGCCAUGAUCGAGGGGCAGGGCCUGGGAUCUACCCCGCCCCGAGGGCGGGCCCUGGAGGCGGAGGCUGAAUAGCGGAGCCUGGGCUCUCCAGGCCCAGUUCUUAGAUCCCGAGAGUCUGGGCCCCAUCUGCUUUGUCUGGACGGCCCUGGCGGGAGUGCCUGAAGCUGAAGGCCUAGGAGCUUUGGCCCUAGACCCCCCUCGGCUCCGCCCCAUAGGCGGGAGAAACUAGACUUGGGCUGCGACCAGCAUUGCUAGUGGCUCAGUCCCAGGAAGUGGAUAGCUGACUUGUAGGCUUUCCCUUGCACCGGGGAAGGCUGUCUCUCAUGUGGCGCAGAGUGUGAUGUGUAACUGUCUGACUGGUGCAGGGAGUCCGAAGAAGACAGGCAUCCUUUCCCACCUUUCUUUAAAAAGCUUGACGGUAGAAGUCCAUCCCUGAGGUGACAGGCAGGAAUCUGAAGGACCACCUGCCUAGGGCAGCUACAGUGGGCUGCUCCCUACCACCACAUUGAUCAUUAAUCAAGAAAAUGCUCCCACAGCCUCGUCUAAAGACCAGUGUGAUGGAGGCUUUUUCUCUCUUGAGAUUCCCUCUUCCCAGAUGAACCUCGCUUGUGUCCAGUUAACAAAAAACUAACUAGCACAGUUGGAGGCCUGUGAAGCUAGAAGGAUUGCCUCUUUCUGUUCUACACUGAUGUUGUAGAAUAUUAAUGUGUUAAAUUUGUUUAUGCUAUGGAACAUUUAUUUAAUGGUGCAAGGAUGUAUUGUAUACUUGUAUGUUUCAUUUGUUUAACUCUGUGAAGCUGUGUUACUUUGCCUGUCUAAAAUACCUAAUUGGUCUAAUAAAGAGCUGAAUGGCCAGUA